rnacentral:rRNA from 1 species
UAUCGGGCGAUCGCCUUGAGUUGAUCAUGGCUCAGAGCGAACGCUGGCGGCAGGCCUAACACAUGCAAGUCGAGCGCCCCGCAAGGGGAGCGGCAGACGGGAGAGUAACACGUGGGAACGUACCCUUCAGUACGGAACAACCAAGGGAAACUUUGGCUAAUACCGUAUACGUCCGUAAGGAGAAAGAUUUAUCGCUGAAGGAUCGGCCCGCGUCUGAUUAGCUAGUUGGUGAGGUAAUGGCUCACCAAGGCGACGAUCGGUAGCUGGUCUGAGAGGAUGAUCAGCCACACUGGGACUGAGACACGGCCCAGACUCCUACGGGAGGCAGCAGUGGGGAAUUUUGGACAAUGGGGGCAACCCUGAUCCAGCCAUGCCGCGUGCGGGAAGAAGGCCUUCGGGUUGUAAACCGCUUUUGGUCGGGAAGAAAAGGCGCCGGAUAAUACCUGGCGUUCUUGACGGUACCGGCAGAAUAAGCACCGGCUAACUACGUGCCAGCAGCCGCGGUAAUACGUAGGGUGCGAGCGUUAAUCGGAAUUACUG